UACCUGGUGUUGGGGACUGAGGAACCAGG
rnacentral:piRNA from 1 species